rnacentral:lncRNA from 1 species
ACGGUUACGUAAUACGAAACGCCAUGGAGUCGAAUUUACUGAUAUCCAACUCACUGAUCAACAUGUACCUGAAAAAUGGCUUUCUUGAACUGGCAAGAGCAAUCUUUGAUUUGAUGGAAAAUCGAAACUUAUCUACGUAUAACUCGAUUAUUUCGGGUUAUGCAUCGUUUGGCUAUCUAGAAGAUGCAUGGUUACUAAUGAAUGAAAUGGGAAAUUGUAAUUUGAAACCAGAUAUUGUUACCUGGAAUAGCCUUCUAUCGGGUAAUCUCCACCGUGGAUUGUAUCACGAAGUACUUGUGUUGUUUCAGCAGAUGCAAAAUGCAGGUUUUGAGCCGAACACGAGAUCUGUGACAACUGUUCUUCAGGCAAUAAGUGAAUUGUUUUGUCUGAAUCUCGGAAAGUCGGUUCAUUGCUAUGUUGUAAGAAGAGGGCUUGUCUCAAAUCUACAUGUAGGAACUUCAUUACUAGACAUGUAUGUGAAGAACUAUGAUUUAAAGAGUGCUAAAUCUGUUUUCGAUGAUAUCAAGGAGAGUAACAUCUUUGCUUGGAACUCGAUGAUUUCUGGAUAUUCGUAUAACGGAGAUAUGGAAAAUGCUUCGAUUCUUUUUAAUCAAAUGAGGAUAGAGGGAAUUGAACCUGAUCUAGUGACAUACAACAGCAUGGUUUCUGGCUAUUCGAUGAUUGGACGAAUAAACGAAGCCUUAGCCACGAUUAGGCAAAUCAAGAACUCGG